rnacentral:rRNA from 1 species
UACGUAGGGUCCAAGCGUUAUCCGGAUUUACUGGGCGUAAAGCGCGCGUAGGCGGUCUGUUAAGUGCACAAGUGAAAGCUCCGGGCUCAACUCGGAAAUUGCUUUGCAUACUGGCAGGCUGGAGGGACGCAGAGGUCUGUGGAAUUCCUGGUGUAACGGUGAAAUGUGUUGAUAUCAGGAGGAACACCCAUGGCGAAGGCAGCAGACUGGGCGUUUCCUGACGCUGAGGCGCGAAAGCGUGGGUAGCAAACAGG